UGGGGGAUAUUGCACAAUGGGCGCAAGCCUGAUGCAGCGACGCCGCGUGGGGGAUGAAGGCCUUCGGGUUGUAAACUUCUUUUGCUAUGAACAAGGCGCACUUUGGGGUGUGUUGAGUGUAGGGGUUGAUUAGCGCCGGCUAACUACGUGCCAGCAGCCGCGGUAAUACGUAGGGCGCGAGCGUUGUCCGGAAUUAUUGGGCGUAAAGGGCGUGUAGGUGGCUGGUUGCGUCUGUCGUGAAAGCUCAUGGCUUAACUGUGGGUUUGCGGUGGGUACGGGCUGGCUUGAGUGCAGUAGGGGAGGCUGGAAUUCCUUGUGUAGCGGUGGAAUGCGCAGAUAUCAGGAGGAAUACCGGUGGCGAAGGCGGGUCUCUGGGCUGUUACUGACACUGAGGAGCGAAAGCAUGGGGAGCGAACAGG
rnacentral:rRNA from 1 species